rnacentral:rRNA from 1 species
GAUGAACGCUGGCGGCGUGCCUAAUACAUGCAAGUCGAGCGAACAGAUAAGGAGCUUGCUCCUUUGACGUUAGCGGCGGACGGGUGAGUAACACGUGGGUAACCUACCUAUAAGACUGGAAUAACUCCGGGAAACCGGGGCUAAUGCCGGAUAACAUGUUGAACCGCAUGGUUCUACAGUGAAAGGCGGCUUUGCUGUCACUUAUAGAUGGACCCGCGCCGUAUUAGCUAGUUGGUGAGGUAACGGCUCACCAAGGCAACGAUACGUAGCCGACCUGAGAGGGUGAUCGGCCACACUGGAACUGAGACACGGUCCAGACUCCUACGGGAGGCAGCAGUAGGGAAUCUUCCGCAAUGGGCGAAAGCCUGACCGAGCAACGCCGCGUGAGUGAUGAAGGUCUUCGGAUCGUAAAACUCUGUUAUUAGGGAAGAACAAAUGCGUAAGUAACUGUGCGCGUCUUGACGGUAUCUAAUCAGAAAGCCACGGCUAACUACGUG